rnacentral:miRNA from 1 species
CAGCAGCACAACAAUGGUUUGU